UAUUAAAAAUUUAAUCUACUUUUACUGUUAAAAACUGGCUCGGCUAAUGGAAUCACUAGACAUUACAUGUGGUGUGACAUAUAUGACGUACAAGAACUAUUUUUUAACAACAAAAAUGAAUGAAAUUUCUAACA
rfam:Gossypium hirsutum cultivar TM-1 chromosome 20, whole genome shotgun sequence